UACGUAGGGACCAAGCGUUGUUCGGAUUUACUGGGCGUAAAGGGCGCGUAGGCGGCGUGGUAAGUCACUUGUGAAAUCUCUGAGCUUAACUCAGAACGGCCAAGUGAUACUGCUGUGCUAGAGUGCAGAAGGGGCAAUCGGAAUUCUUGGUGUAGCGGUGAAAUGCGUAGAUAUCAGGAGGAACACCAGUGGCGAAGGCGACUUCCUGGCCUGUUCUUGACGCUGAGGCGCGAAAGCUAGGGGAGCAAACGGG
rnacentral:rRNA from 1 species